GAGGACUUCUGGCACAGUGGCCUGCACUGUUCAAAGUUUGCAAGAUCAGUGCUGAAUUGAAAAGAAUCACCACAGUCCCACUGCAAUGCCCUGCACUGUUCCAAGUCCACAA